GCUGGGUGUGUUGGCGCACACCUGGAAUCCCAGCGGCUCUGGAGGCUGAGGCAGGAGGAUCCCAAGUUCAAAGCCAGCCUCAG
rnacentral:sRNA from 1 species